rnacentral:rRNA from 1 species
ACCGAAUAGAUACCCGGUAGUCCACGCCCUAAACUAUGCGAACUGGAUGUUGGGUACAUUACGGUACUCAGUGUCGAAAGCUAAACGCGUUAAGUUCGCCGCCUGGGGAGUACGGUCGCAAGACUGAAACUCAAAGGAAUUGACGGGGGCCCGCACAAGCGGUGGAGUAUGUGGUUUAAUUCGAUGCAACGCGAAGAACCUUACCUGGCCUUGACAUCUGUCGAAUCCUGCAGAGAUGCGGGAGUGCCGCAAGGAACGACAAGACAGGUGCUGCAUGGCUGUCGUCAGCUCGUGUCGUGAGAUGUUGGGUUAAGUCCCGCAACGAGCGCAACCCUUGUCCCUAGUUGCCAGCAC